UUCCGGUUGAUCCCGCCGGACCUGACUGCUAUCGGAUUGAUACUAAGCCAUGCGAGUCUUUGCAGUAAUGCAAGGCGGACUGCUCAGUAACACGUAGUCAACUUAACCUAUGGAUGGGUAUAACCUCGGGAAACUGAGAAUAAUUCCCAAUAGAUCAUUUAUCCUGGAAUGGUUAGUGAUUGAAAUGAUUCGUCGCCAUAGGAUAGGACUGCGGCCUAUCAGCUUGUUGGUGAGGUAAAGGCCCACCAAGGCUAUUACAGGUACGGGCUCUGAGAGGAGAAGCCCGGAGAUGGGUACUGAGACACGGACCCAGGCCCUAUGGGGCGCAGCAGGCGAGAAAACUUUGCAAUGUGCGAAAGCACGACAAGGUUAAUCCGAGUGAUUUCUGCUAAAGAAAUCUUUUGCCAGUUCUAAAAAUACUGGUGAAUAAGGGGUGGGCAAGUUCUGGUGUCAGCCGCCGCGGUAAAACCAGCACCUCAAGUUGUCAGGAGGAUUAUUGGGCCUAAAGCAUCCGUAGCCGGCUCUGUUAGUUUUCGGUUAAAUCCAUAUGCUCAACGUAUGGGCUGUCGGAAAUACUACAGAGCUAGGGAAUGGGAGAGGUAGACGGUACUCGGUAGGAAGGGGUAAAAUCCUUUGAUCUAUUGAUGACCACCUGUGGCGAAGGCGGUCUACCAGAACAUGUUCGACGGUGAGGGAUGAAAGCUGGGGGAGCAAACCGGAUUAGAUACCCGGGUAGUCCCAGCUGUAAACGAUGCAGACUAGAUGAUGCAUUAGCAUAUAGCUAGUGCAGUGUCUCAGGGAAGCCGUUAAGUCUGCCGCCUGGGAAGUACGUACGCAAGUAUGAAACUUAAAGGAAUUGGCGGGGGAGCACCACAAGGGGUGAAGCCUGCGGUUCAAUUGGAGUCAACGCCGGG
rnacentral:rRNA from 1 species